rnacentral:rRNA from 1 species
GCCUGGCUCAGAUUGAACGCUGGCGGCAGGCCUAACACAUGCAAGUCGAGCGGAUGAAGGGAGCUUGCUCCUGGAUUCAGCGGCGGACGGGUGAGUAAUGCCUAGGAAUCUGCCUGGUAGUGGGGGAUAACGUCCGGAAACGGGCGCUAAUACCGCAUACGUCCUGAGGGAGAAAGUGGGGGAUCUUCGGACCUCACGCUAUCAGAUGAGCCUAGGUCGGAUUAGCUAGUUGGUGGGGUAAAGGCCUACCAAGGCGACGAUCCGUAACUGGUCUGAGAGGAUGAUCAGUCACACUGGAACUGAGACACGGUCCAGACUCUACGGGAGGCAGCAGUGGGGAAUAUUGGACAAUGGGCGAAAGCCUGAUCCAGCCAUGCCGCGUGUGUGAAGAAGGUCUUCGGAUUGUAAAGCACUUUAAGUUGGGAGGAAGGGCAGUAAGUUAAUACCUUGCUGUUUUGACGUUACCAACAGAAUAAGCACCGGCUAACUUCGUGCCAGCAGCCGCGGUAAUACGAAGGGUGCAAGCGUUAAUCGGAAUUACUGGGCGUAAAGCGCGCGUAGGUGGUUCAGCAAGUUGGAUGUGAAAUCCCCGGGCUCAACCUGGGAACUGCAUCCAAAACUACUGAGCUAGAGUACGGUAGAGGGUGGUGGAAUUUCCUGUGUAGCGGUGAAAUGCGUAGAUAUAGGAAGGAACACCAGUGGCGAAGGCGACCACCUGGACUGAUACUGACACUGAGGUGCGAAAGCGUGGGGGGCAAACAGGAUUAGAUACCCUGGUAGUCCACGCCGUAAACGAUGUCGACUAGCCGUUGGGAUCCUUGAGAUCUUAGUGGCGCAGCUAACGCGAUAAGUCGACCGCCUGGGGAGUACGGCCGCAAGGUUAAAACUCAAAUGAAUUUGACGGGGGCCCGCACAAGCGGUGGAGCAUGUGGUUUAAUUCGAAGCAACGCGAAGAACCUUACCUGGCCUUGACAUGCUGAGAACUUUCCAGAGAUGGAUUGGUGCCUUCGGGAACUCAGACACAGGUGCUGCAUGGCUGUCGUCAGCUCGUGUCGUGAGAUGUUGGGUUAAGUCCCGUAACGAGCGCAACCCUUGUCCUUAGUUACCAGCACCUCGGGUGGGCACUCUAAGGAGACUGCCGGUGACAAACCGGAGGAAGGUGGGGAUGACGUCAAGUCAUCAUGGCCCUUACGGCCAGGGCUACACACGUGCUACAAUGGUCGGUACAAAGGGUUGCCAAGCCGCGAGGUGGAGCUAAUCCCAUAAAACCGAUCGUAGUCCGGAUCGCAGUCUGCAACUCGACUGCGUGAAGUCGGAAUCGCUAGUAAUCGUGAAUCAGAAUGUCACGGUGAAUACGUUCCCGGGCCUUGUACACACCGCCCGUCACACCAUGGGAGUGGGUUGCUCCAGAAGUAGCUAGUCUAACCGCAAGGGGGACGGUUACCACGGAGUGAUUCAUGACUGGGGUGAAGUCGUAACAAGGUAACCGU